rnacentral:lncRNA from 1 species
GCAUCAGGAGCCACAUAUCCAACAGAAACUUUAUCCUCAAAUGAGUUAUGUUUGCCUCGCACUAAUAUCUUUUAUUUCACUCAAAUUAGAGCAAUAAUCUUCCAUACCUAAGUAUCUUCCCUGCCCAAUAAUUCAGAGAAAAAAAAUCCAAAAUGAUUAGUAAAGAAAAAUAUAUGAAUUAACAGACCCUUUAAAUUUGUUUUAAAUAUUUUGAAGAUUUAAAAAGUGUUUAAAAUUCUCUUUCCUAGUCAAAAAUUGCCCAACUCUGUGUUUGCUUUCUGCUUGUUACAUUUUUCUCCCUUACUUUUCUUUUGCUAAAGACAGGCUUUUUCCACCAGCAUCAUCACUGCUAUCAUCAUUAACAGCGUAAUUAUACAAGCAUAUUUAAUGCUGAGUUUAAUUUAAUAUGUAAUACAUAUGGUAAUUGUAGGGUAAUACCCACAACAACUGUAGUUUCUUACUUGGCCAAGAGAAAGCUUAUUUAAGUGUUAGACUUCCAUUCUGGCAAAAUCUUGCCAUAUCAGAAGACAUUGGAAAGAGGGAUUCCCCUUGGUGUUUGGUCUUCUACUUAGAAAAUACUUAUUGCAGUUAGUUUAUCUUCUAGUAUUCAUCUUUGUAUUCUGAAGAUAAUAAGGUUUGAAUUAAAUUGAUAUACACAGAGCGGAACCAGUUAUUUUUUAUCCAAUGUGAAUCAUAAAUGAGAUAAUCCACAGUUAUUCAUUGUGGAAUUGUUGAGACUAUGAAAGACUCAUUAUCUUUGUAUUCAGCUCUUCCUUAAAUAGUGUAACCAUACCCCCACCUCUGCUUGCUUUCUCUCCCUCCCCUCCAAUGAUAAAGAAAAUGAUAAAUUUUCUGUUGUGCAUUCAAUUCUUAUUUUAAAUAAGACUAAGUAUAGGCAUUGUAACUGACAUUGCUACAUUUCUACCAAUGUUUCAAUUUAAAGUGCUAGUGUUUAAAAACAUUUUCAAGGGAUAAGACCUUCCGUACUUUGUUUAUUUGAAGAAUCAGUGGUAGGAGCAGCGAAGUAAAUUCUAUGGAGUACAUUUCUAAAAUAGCACCUUUCUGAAAUUGUAAAUAAGUUUAUUCAGGUUCUAACCCUUUGCUGUACACAAGCAGACAGAAAUGCAUCUGUUACAUAAAUGAGAAAAAGCUAUUAUGCUGAUGGAGCAUGCUUUUUAAAUCCUUUGAAAACACUCACCAUAUAAACUUGCAUUUGAGCUUGUGUGUUCUUUUUGUUAAUGUGUAGAAUUCUCUGUUCUCGAAAUUGCCAGUGUGUCCUUGGCUUAACUCAAGAACAGUUUCUUCUGGACUCCUUAUUUGAUUUAUUUAACCUAAUUAUAUUCUGAUAUUGCAAAUAUUACCAUAAGUGGGUAAAAGUAAAAUUCCUCUUCUGAAAAAAAAAA